ACACUCCUGCGGGAGGCAGCAGUGGGGAAUAUUGCACAAUGGGCGCAAGCCUGAUGCAGCGACGCCGCGUGGGGGAUGAAGGCCUUCGGGUUGUAAACUCCUUUCGCUAGGGACGAAGCUUUUUUGUGACGGUACCUAGAUAAGAAGCACCGGCUAACUACGUGCCAGCAGCCGCGGUAAUACGUAGGGUGCGAGCGUUGUCCGGAAUUACUGGGCGUAAAGGGCUCGUAGGUGGUUUGUCGCGUCGUCUGUGAAAUUCUGGGGCUUAACUCCGGGCGUGCAGGCGAUACGGGCAUAACUUGAGUGCUGUAGGGGUAACUGGAAUUCCUGGUGUAGCGGUGAAAUGCGCAGAUAUCAGGAGGAACACCGAUGGCGAAGGCAGGUUACUGGGCAGUUACUGACGCUGAGGAGCGAAAGCAUGGGUAGCGAACAGGAUUAGAUACCCUAGUAGUCCCAUG
rnacentral:rRNA from 1 species